CUGACAGAGACACACUCAGCGACAGACAUACAUACACACUCACUUACAAAACAUACACUCUCAUUGACAAACACACUCACUAACAGACAUCAAACAGACUCACUAACACACACACUCAGUAAGACACACACAGUAACACACUCACUGACACUCACUAGCAGACACACACACUAACACUCACUAGCAGACACACACUAACACUCACACACACACACUCAGUAAGACAAACACAGUAACACACUCACUGACACUCACUAGCAGACAGACACUAACACUCACAUUCACUCUAACACUCACACUAACACUCACUAGCAGACACACUAACACUCACUCACACUAACACUCAUUCUAACACUCACUCUAACACUCACACACACUAACACUAGUUUUUUUUUUUUUUUUUAAUGUAUUCCCCCCAGCCUCCUUACCUUUUGGAGUGCUGGGGGGAUUCCCUGGGGUCCAGUGGUGCUGCU